UACGUAGGUCCCGAGCGUUGUACGGAUUUAUUGGGCGUAAAGCGAGCGCAGGUGGUUUAUUAAGUCUGGUGUAAAAGGCAGUGGCUCAACCAUUGUAUGCAUUGGAAACUGGUAGACUUGAGUGCAGGAGAGGAAAGUGGAAUUCCAUGUGUAGCGGUGAAAUGCGUAGAUAUAUGGAGGAACACCGGUGGCGAAAGCGGCUCUCUGGCCUGUAACUGACACUGAGGCUCGAAAGCGUGGGGAGCAAACAGG
rnacentral:rRNA from 1 species